CUGGGGCCUCGGCCUUGGAUUGUAGCCUCUAGACAUAGUGCCAACGGAGGCGCAGGUGCAAGCCUCUUGGAAAAGAGCAUCAAUGUGGGUGAGAAUCCUGUGUUUCACUUGCAGUCCACCGUGCACGGCACAUGUUCUCAGAGUCGCGUUCCUCGGAAUUGGAGCGUAAAGUGGGUGGUAAAUUUCAUCUAAAGCUAAAUAUAGGCUUGAGACCGAUAGCAAACAAGUACCAUGAGGGAAAGAUGAAAAGGACUUUGAAAAGAGAGUUAAAAGUGCUUGAAAUCGCUGAAAGGGAAGCGAAUGGAACCAGUCUUCUGGCUGAGAUUGUUGCGUGCUACUGUGAUGCCUGGCUGCUUCAACGCAAGUGUUGCAGUUAGAGUUGAUCAGCUGUGCGUGAUGUUUCUCAGCUUGUUAGUCAACCUUUGUUCGUGCUUGGGGAUAACUGCAGGUACCAUGCUCUUCCCUGCGGGGUUGAUCUCGUGCUUGUUAGGACUCAGGUGUGUACACUUGGUGACAAAAUGGUUCUCUUCGACCCGUCUUGAAACACGGACCAAGGAGUCUAGCACAUGUGCAAGUUCACAGGUGGCAAGCCUGCUUGCGCAAUGAAGGUGACUGCUGGGAAUAUUUGCACCAGCAACCGACCAAUCAAUUGAGAGAAGUUUGAGUAUGAGCAUAUGUGUU
rnacentral:rRNA from 1 species